UACAGGGGGUGCAAACGUUGCUCGGAAUUAUUGGGCGUAAAGCGCGCGUAGGCGGCUAUCUAAGUCGGAUGUGAAAGCCCCUGGCUUAACCGGGGAAGUGCACCCGAAACUGGGUAGCUAGAGUGCAAAAGAGGGUCGCGGAAUUCCCAGUGUAGAGGUGAAAUUCGUAGAUAUCGGAAGGAACAUCAGUGGCGAAAGCGACUGCCUGGCCCAAUACUGACACUCAUGUGCGAAAGCGUGGGGAGCAAACAGG
rnacentral:rRNA from 1 species